UGCAGUCGGACGGGAUUGAGGAGCUUGCUUCUCAUGAGAGUGGCGCACGGGUGCGUAACACGUAUGUAACCUACCUUGUUCAGGGGGAUAGCCUCUCGAAAGAGAGAUUAACACCGCAUAAAAUCAAUUUAUGGCAUCAUAGAAUGAUCAAAUAUUUAUAGGAACAAGAUGGGCAUGCGGAACAUUAGCUAGUUGGUAAGGUAACGGCUUACCAAGGCUACGAUGUUUAGGGGAUCUGAGAGGAUGACCCCCCACACUGGUACUGAGACACGGACCAGACUCCUACGGGAGGCAGCAGUAAGGAAUAUUGGUCAAUGGACGCAAGUCUGAACCAGCCAUGCCGCGUGCAGGAAGACGGCCCUACGGGUUGUAAACUGCUUUUGUACCGGAAUAAACCUUUUCACGUGUGAGAAGCUGAAUGUACGGUAAGAAUAAGGAUCGGCUAACUCCGUGCCAGCAGCCGCGGUAAUACGGAGGAUCCAAGCGUUAUCCGGAUUUAUUGGGUUUAAAGGGUGCGUAGGUGGCCUAUUAAGUCAGGGGUGAAAGACGGUAGCUUAACUAUCGCAGUGCCUUUGAUACUGAUGGGCUUGAAUACACUUGAGGUAGGCGGAAUGUGACAAGUAGCGGUGAAAUGCAUAGAUAUGUCACAGAACACCAAUUGCGAAGGCAGCUUACUAAAGUGUUAUUGACACUGAGGCACGAAAGCGUGGGGGAUCAAACAGGAUUAGAUACCCUGGUAGUCCACGCCCUAAACGAUGAAUACUCGAUGUUGGCGAUAUACGGUCAGCGUCUAAGCGAAAGCGUUAAGUAUUCCACCUGGGGAGUACGCCCGCAAGGGUGAAACUCAAAGGAUUGACGGGGGCCCGCAC
rnacentral:rRNA from 1 species